GAUGAACGCUGGCGGCGUGCCUAAUACAUGCAAGUCGAGCGAACAGAUGAGGAGCUUGCCCUUCUGACGUUAGCGGCGGACGGGUGAGUAACACGUGGAUAACCUACUUAUAAGACUGGGAUAACUUCGGGAAACCGGAGCUAAUACCGGAUAAUAUAUUGAACCGCAUGGUUCAUUAGUGAAAGACGGUUUUGCUGUCACUUAUAGAUGGAUCCGCGCCGCAUUAGCUAGUUGGUAAGGUAACGGCUUACCAAGGCAACGAUGCGUAGCCGACCUGAGAGGGUGAUCGGCCACACUGGAACUGAGACACGGUCCAGACUCCUACGGGAGGCAGCAGUAGGGAAUCUUCCGCAAUGGGCGAAAGCCUGACGGAGCAACGCCGCGUGAGUGAUGAAGGUCUUCGGAUCGUAAAACUCUGUUAUUAGGGAAGAACAAAUGUGUAAGUAACUAUGCACGUCUUGACGGUACCUAAUCAGAAAGCCACGGCUAACUACGUG
rnacentral:rRNA from 1 species